ensembl:lncRNA
AGCCUGGUGGUUAGAGGCGGGUAGCCUGGUGGUUAGAGGCGGGCAGCCUGGUGGUUGGAGGCGGGCAGCCUGGUGGUUGGAGGCGGGCAGCCUGGUGGUUGGAGGCGGGCAGCCUGGUGGUUGGAGCGUUGGACUAGUAACCGGAAGGUUGCAAGAUCUAAUCCCCGAGCUGACAAGGUAAAAAUCUGUCGUUCUGCCCCUGAACAGGCAGUUAACCCACUGUUCCUAGGCCAGUUAACCCACUGUUCCUAGGCCAGUUAACCCACUGUUCCUAGGCCAGUUAACC